rnacentral:rRNA from 1 species
UUAAUAAAUUUUUACUAUAAAUAUUAGUUUAAUAAAAUUUUAAUUUAAAUAUUAUUUUAUUUAAUUGUUUUUGUAUUUUUUAGAUUAAAUAAUUUUAGUAAUAGUAAAUUUGUACAGUGAUGGAUAAUAUAAUGUUUUAUGUAUAUAUAAAAAGUAAAAUUAUUUUUUUGUACCUUUUGUAUCAGGGUUUAUUAAUUAUUUAAUAUGAAUUUAUUUAUCUCGAAUUCAAUAGAGCAAUAAUUUUAAGAAAGUUUUUGUUUCAAAACUAUUUUUAAUAAGGUUAUAGUAAUUAAAUGUUAGUCGUUAUUGAUUAUAUCUAGUUUUUCAAGAAUUAAAUUUAAUUUAUUAUUUUUUUUUUAAUUAUUUUUAUGUUAAAUUAAUUAAUUUUAAAAUAAAAAGGUUUCUGGGAUAAGCUUGGAAUUUUUUUUUAUAAAUGUAUUUAAGUUUUUUAUAAUUAGUAGAAUUAGAAAUUUUCAUCUUUUUAUAAAGUGUUAUAAUUAAUUUGUGUUAAAAUUAAAUUUUCUUUUUUUUAAAAAUAAUUUAUUGAAAUAUUUUUUUUAAUUAUUUUUAUUAGUAAUAAUGAUAAAAUUAGUAUUAUUUAUUUUUUUUUAUAAAUUUUUAUAAAGAUUAAUUAAAGGAAUUCAGCAACUUUAUAACCGCCUGUUUAUCAAAAACAUCUCUUUUUGAAUAUAAUUUAAGGUUUGGUCUGCCCACUGAUAUUUGAAGGGCCGCAGUAUUUUGACUGUGCAAAGGUAGCAUAAUCAUUUGCCUUUUAAUUGAAGGCUGGAAUGAAUGGCUGGACGAGUUAUAAACUGUCUCUAAUUAAGAAUAUUAAUAAUUUGAUUUUUUAGUCAAAAAGCUAAAAUUGUUUUAAAGGACGAGAAGACCCUAUAGAUCUUUAUAUUAAAUUUUAUUUAAUUGUUAAAAACUAGUUAAAUAUAGUUUAAUAUUUUGUUGGGGUGACAUAAAGAUUAAUUAAACUCUUUUAUAUGAAUUACAUUAAUUUAUGAAUUUUUGAUCCAAUAUUGUUGAUUAUUAGAAUAAGUUACCUUAGGGAUAACAGCGUAAUUUUAUUGGAGAGUUCUUAUUGAUAAUAAAGUUUGCGACCUCGAUGUUGAAUUAAAAAAAUUUUUAAGUGCAGAAGCUUAAAUUAAUAGGUCUGUUCGACCUUUAAAUUUUUACAUGAUUUGAGUUCAGACCGGCGUGAGCCAGGUCGGUUUCUAUCCUUAAUUUAUUAUCCUUAAUUAGUACGAAAGGACCAUUUAGGAAAAUUAUUUUUUGUUUUUUUUGAAUAAAAUU